GAUGAACGAUGGCGGCGUGCCUAAUACAUGCAAGUCGAGCGAACAGACGAGGAGCUGGCUCCUCUGAGGGUAGCGGCGGACGGGUGAGGAACACGUGGAUAACCUAACUAUAAGACUGGGAUAACUUCGGGAAACCGGAGCUAAGACCGAAUAAUAUAUUGAACCGCAUGGUUCAAGAGUUAAAGAAGGUUUUGCGGUCACUUAUAGAUGGAUACGCGCCGCAUUAGCUAGUUGGUAAGGUAGCGGAUUACCAAGGCAACGAUGCGUAGCCGACCUGAGAGGGCGAUCGGUCACACUUCAACUGAGAUACGCUCCCGCCCCCGAACGGAGGCAGCACUCGGACAUCUUCCGCAAUCGGCGAAAGCCUGAAGUGGACACGCCGCGUGAGUCAUGACGGUCUUUGCCUCGUAAAACUCUGUUAUUAGAGAAGAACAAAUGUCUAAGUCACUAUGCACGUCUUGACGGUCCCGAAGCAGAAAGCCCCGCCUACCCACGU
rnacentral:rRNA from 1 species